rnacentral:rRNA from 1 species
AUUGAACGCUGGCGGAAUGCUUUACACAUGCAAGUCGAACGGUAGAGGGGGCAACCCCUUGAGAGUGGCGAACGGGUGAGUAAUAUAUCGGAACGUGCCCAGUCGUGGGGAUAACGUAGCGAAAGUUACGCUAAUACCGCAUACGAUCUAAGGAUGAAAGCGGGGGAUCGCAAGACCUCGCGCGAUUGGAGCGGCCGAUAUCAGAUUAGGUAGUUGGUGGGGUAAAGGCUCACCAAGCCAACGAUCUGUAGCUGGUCUGAGAGGACGACCAGCCACACUGGAACUGAGACACGGUCCAGACUCCUACGGGAGGCAGCAGUGGGGGAAUUUUUGGACAAUGGACGCAAGUCUGAUCCAGCCAUUCCGCGUGCAGGAUGAAGGCCCUCGGGUUGUAAACUGCUUUUGUACGGAACGAAAGGUUUCUCUUAAUACGAGGAGCUCAUGACGGUACCGUAAGAAUAAGCACCGGCUAACUACGUGCCAGCAGCCGC